UACGUAGGGACCAAGCGUUGUUCGGAUUUACUGGGCGUAAAGCGUGCGCAGGCGGCUUUGCAAGACAGAUGUGAAAUCCCCGGGCUUAACCUGGGAACUGCAUUUGUGACUGCAUGGCUGGAGUGCGGCAGAGGGGGAUGGAAUUCCGCGUGUAGCAGUGAAAUGCGUAGAUAUCAGCUGGAACGCCUGCGGUGAAAACGGCUCGCUGGGAGCAAUCUGACGCUGAGACACGAAAGCCAGGGGAGCGAACGGG
rnacentral:rRNA from 1 species